rnacentral:rRNA from 1 species
UCGGGAAUUUUGGGCAAUGGGCGAAAGCCUGACCCAGCAACGCCGCGUGAAGGAUGAAGUAUUUCGGUAUGUAAACUUCGAAAGAAUGGGAAGAAUAAAUGACGGUACCAUUUAUAAGGUCCGGCUAACUACGUGCCAGCAGCCGCGGUAAUACGUAGGGACCAAGCGUUGUUCGGAUUUACUGGGCGUAAAGGGCGCGUAGGCGGCUUAACAAGUCACUUGUGAAAUCUCCGGGCUUAACUCGGAACGGCCAAGUGAAACUGUUAAGCUAGAGUGCAGAAGGGGCAAUCGGAAUUCUUGGUGUAGCGGUGAAAUGCGUAGAUAUCAAGAGGAACACCUGAGGUGAAGACGGGUUGCUGGGCUGACACUGACGCUGAGGCGCGAAAGCGUGGGGAGCAAACGGGAUUAGAUACCCACGUAGUCCCUGAGCGGGCUGGCAAGGCGCAU